rnacentral:lncRNA from 1 species
UGGAAUCUCAACACAAGUGGUAGGCAUCUUUGAAAACAAUAAAUAGAUGAAGAAUGGAGAGACCUCAAAAGGAGAGUCUGGGAACCCUAGCCAAAGACCCACAUAUGCUACCAUGUGGCCCUCCCUACUCAACCUCAGUAUAUCUUUACUGAAAAACACAUGCCAAAGAACAACACCCAGAGAGCUGGAAACACUGGAAAAGAUUUCGUGAUGCCCCCAACUUUACUUUAUAGGGAAGGUACGUAAGUAAAAUCUCA